rnacentral:tmRNA from 1 species
GGGGGCGAACUGGGUUCGACCGGAUAGGCAAAGUGUUCGUGGCGUGCCGUGGUUGGUCAGUUGGCCACGUAAAAAGCUGACCGAACAUUUUACUUGCCGAAGGUAACUUCGCACUGGCCGCCUAACAACAGGCGACCCGGGCUGAGGAGCUUUGUCGGAGAGGUCCGAAAGCCCGUUGCCAAAUCCGACUCGUCCCGGGUCAUCGCUUGGCACGCCCGGGGCUAAAUUCCGUUCCGAGCUAGCCCGCGGGGGACCCAGUCGGCAGGGGCCUCGGCCGGUGAAAUCCAAACCGCCGACUACGCACGUAGAAGCGGGCAUGGAGCGAUCGCGGGACGCGGGUUCGAUUCCCGCCGCCUCCACUG